GAGAAUCAUGCCCAAGCGCAUCACAAACCCUGCAACUCCUCUCCCUCACCUAGCCUUUAAAUGCUUCCCCAAAACCUACUGCGCAGUUUGGGCUUUUUGAGCAUGAGCUGCCCUGGAUUCCUCAUCUGGCACCUUACAAGAAAUUCUGCACUUUCCUGGACUAUAACAGGUUCCUGUGUCUUAAGAAUCAGCCUCAUCAGCUCCAAGACCAUGAAGCAUUCUUCUUUGGCAACUUCCUGUCCUGCAGCCCCGCAUCUCUGUCAUUUGAAAUCUGCCCUUGGAAAGUAAUUCCCUACCCUACUGAGGAAUGCCAUCAACGGUAACAUUCGGUAACUGGCAAUGAAAGAGAAACAAUAUUGUUUUUAUCUUCAAGACAAAUGCAAAGUGUUUUUUCAUUCAGGAGGAGCUGAAUAAUUCUGCAGUAAGCUAUAGCCCUUUUCCUUUCUAUACAACUUCAGUAAAUCUUAUUACAUUAUCAAACACUGAUUCCCAUGCUGAUUUGCAUGGGUGUAGUACUGAUUCUGGACAGCAGAGGUCACUAUUAA
ensembl:lncRNA